GGGACCAAGCCUAGCAUUGUGGGAAAGAGUUGGCCCGUUUUCUUAAUUGUGUUCAUCUUAUUCAAUAAAUUUUUAUAACAAUUUUGCAAAUAUUUUAGAAACAUUUUUAUUUAACUUGAUAAUUUCAAAUUAUACACCUUAAACAUUUUUAAAAUGGUCCACUCAGUAAAAGAAGAUUCUAGUUCUAGCUUUGUAUAAGAAAAAUAUUCCAAUGUAAGCAAAAGAUGUCCUAGUCUUACGUGAAAAAUGUUCGAGCUUCAAGAUAAAAUAUUCAAGCCUUAUAGGAAAAAUUUUCCAGCUUCAAAAGAAAUUUCUCCACCUUUAUAAGAAAACGAAGCACGAUGCGAUAUAGCCAAGUUCAUUGUGACGUAUAGCUUUGGUCUCGGAAUCAAUCGGUGUCAUAAAACUACCUAGCCCCAAGCAUUUUGCCUCCACACUCUAUUCCCCUACCACACCACCUCUUUCCACUCAUCUUGUUCUCUCCAUCCAUUGUCACCUCUCACAUUGGAGAUCAACUUCACCAUGCCACUAAAAUCUUUACUUGCGGUCUCACUGGUCUGUAGCGGCAAUGGUGGUUUGCUUUUCAAUUAUGUUUCAUGUCCUACUCUUUCGCCUCCAUAUUCUCAAACAAAAUUUUGAAUCACAAUGAUAGGUCAUCGUACUAGACAAAAGCCUAGCAAAGGGAGUGGCUCAGCACCGAAGACUUGCAGCGAGGCUUUGUACGUCUCGUAGACUUCAGCGAAUUUCCCCUUUAACAAAGCUUCGGCUUCAUUGAUGAGCUUUGUCUUCUCCUCCAGUUCCGGACCCAUUGCUUCGAUGAUUCGCUCUAAUUCACUGAUAGUCCGAGCAUUCUUCUCUGCACCGACGCGAAGUUUCUCAAUAGACUUGGCAUCCUCCUCCAAGCGUUCCUUCAGCUUCGCGUUCUCCUCUUCGAGGCUCUCUCUUUUGUCAUCUAAUUUUUCGUAUUUUUCCCCAAGUUCUCACGUUGUCUUCGCCAGGAGAUCAUUAUUUUCUUUUAGAAGAGAGUUCGACGCUUUGAGCUCCACGUGAAUGUUCUCCAAGAUCUCGUUUUGCUUCUCAAGAGAAGCAACCUUAACUUUCAGCUCAAACACCUCCGCGAGUGCAGCCUUUUCCCGCGAUUCCAUCCUCUCCUUAGCAACGGCAGAUGCAAAAGCAACCUGCAAAAGAGGAAGAAUUACUCAAAGAAACGAAGCCUCCCAGUGAAGAGCUUGAAGAAACAUGGAGAAGCGCAAUCAAAGUUGCGGCGAAGCCAAUAAAAUGAGUCGAGUAAAUCAACAUUGAAGGAAACAAACCUUCUUUUCUAGGCCAACAUUCAGCUUCGUGAGCGCGUCGUCAUCCAAGCUCCGUACCAAUUUCUGUAAAGCAAGCCUAGCAAAACUCACCCUCAUAAUCGGCCAACUUCUCAAUGGCCUCGGCUUCGACCACUGUCUUCCUUCCGCCAACUCCGCUAGCCCCAACCCUCCCACUUUCCUCAGUAACUAAAGCACCGGUCUCGCCGCCAGGCAAUCCCCUCGCAGCAUCUGCGCCAUGACCACCUUCCUUCGCAUCAGACCCCCAAGCCAGUGACAAGUUGUAGGGGUUAUAAACCUCACCUUCGCCAGGCACAUGGGCUGCUAGAAUUUCCUUCCUGAACCCGGUCCCCAGUGCCUUGUUCAUCUCUUUCAAUCUCGAUGGCAGCUCGGAGCCUGCAGCAUAGCGUUUAACCUUUAACCUCACAUGGGUCUCAUCACACGGCUCACCAGGACCACCCAUCGUCCUUUCCAGAUCGCUCAGAAACCCUCGCGAAGCCCCGUCAUACCUAAAAAAGAGAAGUUUAGGCAACCGAACCUCCACAUGCGUACCUGACUUUGUCGCUUCCGAGGGAGGCCCCCUUGAACCCUCUGAAGGUGCACCGGCUAGCCUUUCCUUGUCCUUCGCCAGCUCUGCCAUAAGCUUCUCCUUCUCGGUAAGUGGCCUCUGCGUAAUCUCAGCAGUGCUCACGACAUUAUCGAGCGCCUUUGCAGUAGGCUUUGUUGGAGCGUCAUCCAGAAGAGCACGCACGAACCGAGGCUUGUGGCCGGAUUUUUUAACCUUUGUAGCGGCAGCAGCUCCUGCCUCGGUAGGCUCGGCGAUCGCGCGAGGUGCCCGCACGGCAAUAGGAGCAACCAGCUUCAGUGCACAGCCACUGCUGAAGCCCGGCCCGACCGCCGCCCCCAGGAGCUGCAACUACGUUUGUUGUCGAGUUGGCAGCUAUCGCAUAUUUCACCACCGAUUGUAUAUAGUUCGAAGCUUCCGGCGGAUUCGGUGGCUCGUUUCUUGAGAUUAUUUCAUUGACAAAUCGGCUGGUUAAGCUUGUGCGUCACUACUACAAGAAAAGAUUUGUAGUGCAGGGUAAAAUGUGAAGUCAGUAUUCUUUGUUCGGUUCUAUGUGUUUUGAUAUUGGAAGUCCGGGGUCUUUGUUUAGAGGGUAUAAGUCCACGGUCCUUGUGUGUGGUGAGGAGCCGCCAAGAUCAGAACAUCGCGUAUAGAGCAUCACCGAUCGUGCGGAGUUUAAUGAUGAUUAAAAUAAUUCCAUUCACACACUGAACAGGACAUGCAUAUUUGGCCCAUCCAAUGCGCAGCUUUACGCAUGUAACGCGAAUGCAGGUUACCGCUGAACAGGAUGGGUGGGUCGACAAGGUGCAGUUGGCCUAAGCGCGUCUAUGGAUCAGGCAAUUGCAUGCUUGCAGUGCCGGACACGAUCGAUCGAUGUGUCCCCAACCUCAUGGGUGUCGCACGACGAGACAUUAAUCAUCUAUCUGCCGUUCGCUGAUGGAUUAUCGUUGCAUAUAUAUGCGUCAACCAAGGACAACAAGUAGCUAAAAAAAAGGGAACACGCUUAGAACGAGGGAAUCACUAACCACUAAUGAAAUGAGCACGGCGCCUACAAAAGGCCAUGAUAUUGAAGCAUCUACCCAAGCAACAAUCACUACUCUACCACCAGCAUUAAGCUACAGGCAGAACAAGUUAACGAAGCAGCUAGCCUGGCGUAUCCAUGGCGCCCAAGUCCGCGGCGGCUCUGGUCCUGCUGGCGGCGAUGAUCGCCGGCCUGGCGCCGCCGCUGCAAGCCGGCCCGAUGUCGAUGGGCUCCACCUGGUCGACAAAGUAUAUUGCUCCGGCGACCUUGUGAUGAAGAAUGCGCGCUUUUGCUUCUACAUGCGGCGGCCGACCCAUGGCAAGAAAAGGUUGCCGCUCCGUAUUGCUGCGGACAUCUUCUGGUGGAUGUUAUCUUCGGCGGCAAGGGCAAGCGAUGCACCUGCGGGUUCCGGGCGGCCGCCAAAAAGAUGAGUAUUGAUGUCGACCGGAUGUGCCAUACCACCGCCGGAUCCAAGCUGAAGGAGUUCUGCACGGGGCCAGCCCAUGGUAUAUGAUUGAUCGACCAAGGCGUUCUCUCUCUCUCUCUCUCUGGGCCUUGUUUCUGCUUUACUGGUAAUUUCGUGUCUGAAUGGUUCAGUUUCCCAAUUCGUCCAUUUGCUCGCUCGCUCCUCGCUUGUGUUUUUUCUUUCUCUGCUUGUGCUGUACAUGGUUUGAAUCAAAACUUGUAAUAGCGCUUUAUCUACGCCAAAUUCUGUAGAACCCGAAAGGAAGAUGUUACUGCAUCAAGUACGAAACUACCAAUGUUGUGUUGGAGCCUUUGAGCGACCAAUUGAAAUUCAUGAAAAGCAAUGACGAAUAGGGAUACUUUGGACGAUGAACAAAGAAGCAAUAUCAGAAUUCAGAAGAGGAUCGGAACACAGGAAGAAGAUCAGCGAUGGGAUCGGAUCGGAGGUGCUCACAGCGUGCGAGUUCGAAAAUGUUCCAGCUUCAAGAGAAAUUGCUCCACCUUUAUAAGAAAAAGAAGCACGAUGCGCAUAGCCAAGUUCAUUGUGACGUAUAGUUUUGGUCUCAGCAUCAAUCGGUGAGCUGUCACAAAACAACCUAGCCCAAAGCAUUUUGCCUCCACACUCUAUUCCCCUACCACACCACCUCUUUCCAUUCAUCUUGUUCUCUCCAUCCAUUGUCGCCUCUCACAUUAGAGAUCAAUUUCACCAUGCCCUUAAAAUAGGUACUUGCGGUCUCACUGGUCUGCAGCGGCAAUGGUGGUCUGCUUUUCAAUUAUGUUUCAUGUCCUACUCCUUC
rnacentral:lncRNA from 1 species